UGACCGCUGGCGGCGUGCCUAAUACAUGCAAGUCGAGCGACCAGACGAGGAGCUUGCUCCUCUGACGUUAGCGGCGGACGGGUGAGUAACACGUGGAUAACCUACCUAUAAGACUGGGAUAACUUCGGGAAACCGGAGCUAAUACCGGAUAAUAUAUUGAACCGCAUGGUUCAAUAGUGAAAGACGGUUUUGCUGUCACUUAUAGAUGGAUCCGCGCCGCAUUAGCUAGUUGGUAAGGUAACGGCUUACCAAGGCAACGAUGCGUAGCCGACCUGAGAGGGUGAUCGGCCACACUGGAACUGAGACACGGUCCAGACUCCUACGGGAGGCAGCAGUAGGGAAUCUUCCGCAAUGGGCGAAAGCUUGACGGAGCAACGCCGCGUGAGUGAUGAAGGUCUUCGGAUCGUAAAACUCUGUUAUUAGGGAAGAACAAAUGUGUAAGUAACUAUGCACGUCUUGACGGUACCUAAUCAGAAAGCCACGGCUAACUACGUG
rnacentral:rRNA from 1 species